rnacentral:rRNA from 1 species
GGGCUGCCUUAACAUGCAAGUCGAACGGCAGCACGGGGGCAACUCUGGUGGCGAGUGGCGAACGGGUGAGUAAUACAUCGGAACGUGUCCUGUAGUGGGGGAUAGCCCGGCGAAAGCCGGAUUAAUACCGCAUACGCUCUACGGAGGAAAGGGGGGGAUCUUAGGACCUCCCGCUACAGGGGCGGCCGAUGGCAGAUUAGCUAGUUGGUGGGGUAAAGGCCUACCAAGGCGACGAUCUGUAGCUGGUCUGAGAGGACGACCAGCCACACUGGGACUGAGACACGGCCCAGACUCCUACGGGAGGCAGCAGUGGGGAAUUUUGGACAAUGGGCGAAAGCCUGAUCCAGCAAUGCCGCGUGUGUGAAGAAGGCCUUCGGGUUGUAAAUCACUUUUGUCCGGAAAGAAAACCUCCGCCCUAAUAUGGUGGGGGGAUGAC